GCUUGGAGGGGAAGGAGACAGUCUUGCGCGCGUCCUCCGUUUUUGUGAAAUAAUUUGCAGGUGGAUUGAUUUCUGAAGGACAGUUGGUUCUUGUGUAACAUACCAUCCGGUGGAUUAGUGUAUGUGCUUGUGUUAUGGUUACGUGCUUUAAAGACUGUUCUUUUUUCAUUAAGGAGUAGGUGUGGCUAGACUUCAACAGGAAAUCGGCGGAGAUCCAGGAACGGCUCGUGACAGGACAAUGCCCGGACUCCCUGCCAAGUGCUGCUGCUUGUGAGGACCGUCUACCGUGACCACAGGUGCAGCCCGACGGCGAGGCGCGAACCCCAGUUGGCGUAACACACACGCAUAGCUCCUCUCGAGAGAUUUCCGGGAAAAGGGCGGCAGAAAGAUACGUUGCAGGUAAGGUUGCGAAAUGAUUUAAUACAG